rnacentral:lncRNA from 1 species
ACAAUAACUUUAGUUUAAGUAAAUAGAAAUCAAUGAAAUUUAAACACAAUGUUAAUGACUACAAAAGGAAGGUUGGUAUUGAUUUUGGGAGUUUAGGUCCGAACAGUUUAGGAAUUAGGGGCCAAAAAGGGACCCAAAUAAGCAUUUUUCUUGGUUUUCGCACCAUAACGUUAGUAUAAGUAAAUAGAAAUCUAUGAAAUU